CCCUUAGAUGUUCUGGGCCGCACGCGUGCUACACUGAGUGGAUCAGCGGGUCAGGUUGCGCGAAAGCGUUUCCUAAUCUUUAAAUCCGCUCGUGAUGGGGAUUGACGGUUGCAAUUUUCUGUCAUGAACGAGGAAUACCUUGUAAGCGCGGGUCAUCAUCCCGCGCUGAAUACGUCCCUGCCCUUUGUACACACCGCCCGUCGCUCCUACCGAUUGAGUGGUCCGGUGAAAUCUUCGGAUUGAGACUUUGAUUUCUUCACGGAAAACGCUGUUUUAAAAAGUUGAUUAAACCUUACCAUUUAGAGGAAGGUGAAGUCGUAACA
rnacentral:rRNA from 1 species